rnacentral:rRNA from 1 species
AUUGAACGCUGGCGGCAGGCCUAACACAUGCAAGUCGAGCGGAUGAAGGGAGCUUGCUCCUGGAUUCAGCGGCGGACGGGUGAGUAAUGCCUAGGAAUCUGCCUGGUAGUGGGGGAUAACGUCCGGAAACGGGCGCUAAUACCGCAUACGUCCUGAGGGUGAAAGUGGGGGAUCUUCGGACCUCACGCUAUCAGAUGAGCCUAGGUCGGAUUAGCUAGUUGGUGGGGUAAAGGCCUACCAAGGCGACGAUCCGUAACUGGUCUGAGAGGAUGAUCAGUCACACUGGAACUGAGACACGGUCCAGACUCCUACGGGAGGCAGCAGUGGGGAAUAUUGGACAAUGGGCGAAAGCCUGAUCCGGCCAUGCCGCGUGUGUGAAGAAGGUCUUCGGAUUGUAAAGCACUUUAAGUUGGGAGGAAGGGCAGUAAGUUAAUACCUUGCUGUUUUGACGUUACCAACAGAAAAAGCACCGGCUAACUUCGUG